AACUAGAAUCUCAUUCAAUACGAUGGCAGACGGUGGUAAAUGUGUUCACUAAUUAUUUUAGUUGGGUAGGUACAUAUUGAAAAAAAAAAAAAAAAAAUGUUCUCCAUUGGAAGACGGAUAAACACAGAAUCAUGGAUAUAUUGGAACUUAGAAGACGAUGAUAUUAUAUUCAUAACUAAACCAAAUCCAACCUAAAAACAUCGAUAAUACAGUCUGAUGUAUUUUCAAAGGAGGUCAAAAAGAACUGAUUAAACCCA